rnacentral:rRNA from 1 species
GACGAACGCUGGCGGCGUGCUUAACACAUGCAAGUCGAACGGAAAGACCCUGCUUUUGUUGGUUUCUCGAGUGGCGAACGGGUGAGUAACACGUGAGUAACCUGCCCCUUACUGUGGGAUAACUUCAGGAAACUCGGGCUAAUAACGGAUAUGAGCUCCUGCUGCAUGGGGGGGGUUGGAAAGUUUCGGCGGUUGGGGAUGGACUCGCGGCUUAUCAGCUUGUUGGUGGGGUAGUGGCUUACGAAGGCUUUGACGGGUAGCCGGCAUGAGAGGGUGACCGGGGACCAUGGGACUGCGAUACGGAGCAGCAGGGUACGGGAGGCAGUAGUGGGGAAUAUUGCAGAACGGGCGGAAGCGAGAUGUAGAGGCGCUGCGUGCGUGAAGCUGGGUUACGGGUUAAAAACAGAUUUCGAAUGUGACGAAGCGUGAGUGACGGUAACGGGUAAAGAAGCACCGGCUAACUACGUG